UCACCCAGACGGUAAAAAAAAUUGGGGGGUGGGUGCUUUGAAACGUUGAACUUUCGCAUUUCCUUUCUCAUUGGUCUUAAUUCACAGCCUUUCCUCAGACAGACAGGGUCAGCGGCACACUGCUUUGUAAAGACUUGAUAUCAGGACACUGUCCAGGACACCAUGUUAGAGAUCUCAGCCUCUUCGUUACAACUGACAGGUUUCUGCCCCUCAGCUCAAUUCCUCACUAAAAUGGAGGUACACACUUGGCCCAGAAUCUCCCAUUGGGAAAGGUUAUGACCAGACUCGGGGGUUCAUCCAGGUGACUUUGUGCUGCACUCCUUUCCAGGGUCCUUCCUGAGAUUGCCAGGCCCAGAACUGAGUUCAGUUACUACAGACGGAUGAAGACUGUGUUGAACUGAAAGAUCAUUUCCACCUGUUUGUAUUCCAGUCCCUUUAGAUUCAGAGGGAAGCGGCUCUCCACAUAAAGGGUUGUGAGAAUCUAUAACUCCCUUGUCCUGACACACAAAACAGUGGCAGCAUUAACGUUUGCAAUAGAGGCUGUCAUAUAGCCUCCUCUACAUCAGUGAGACCAGGGGGAGGCUUGGAGAUCGCUUUGUAGAGCACCUGCGCUCUGUCCGUGACAACACCUUCCGGUCGUGAACCACUCCCACUCCCACUCCCACUCCCACGGUGACAUGUCCAUCCUGGGCCUCCUCCAGUGUCACAACGACACCACCCGCAAACUGGAGGAGCAGCACCUCAUAUUCCACCUUGGGAGCCUACAGCCCAAUGGCCUAAACGUGGACUUCACCAGUUUCAAAAUCUCCCCAUGACCAACUCUCCCUCUCAUCCCCGCCUCCUUGACCUGCCUACCUGCACUCACCUAUCACCAUCCCACCUACCUCCCCCAGCCCCACCCCUCCUCUCUCUAUUUAUUUCACAGCUCCCUUCUCCCUCCUCCUUUUCUGAAGAAGGGUCCUGACCCAAAAAGUCAGCUUUCCUGCUCCUCUGAUGCUGCCUGGCCUGCUGUGUUCCUCCAGCUCCACACUGUGUUAUCUCUGACUCCAGCAUCAGCAGUUCUUACUAUCUCUGAUUAAAGUUUGCUAUUGUGGAGUAACAGCAUUUCAAUAGGGAGUAAAGGCAUUGGAAUGCAUUUAAACCAACCAUCCCUUUGAGGGGUUCCUGCAUAUGCUGUUGGCAUACGUGUAUUCUUACAGAUGUGACUCUCCAUCAUGGGAGCUGAUGCUGGGAUGGCUGCUGCAUUACUGCAUUUGAGAUGAGCUAAAAAUAAUGAUUUACAACAGCAAUGUCCAAAAAGAUCAGAACAAGAUUUAAUGGAUGGUGAGACAGUCUCAGCAGGAGACUGGAUUGCAACUCGAAACCAGAUGAUGUCAGGAGGAAAUGGGAUCAAUAGAAAUCAAUCUUAAUAAAGAAUAACAGAAAGUAGUGUAUGCACAUCAUGUGAAAGAUCCUUAAUAACAAACACUUGGAGCACUUUGGUGGAGACUGGAGGAUGCAAAGAGACUGUCUGCUGAGUCAUCAGAGAGCAGGAAUCUGUGUGCUAAUUAUUGUAAUGUGAACAAUCAAUAAUUAAUCAGUGAGAACAUAACCAAUCAUUACAGCAUUAGCUGUAGCUCCACGGGAAGGAAUCUUACUUCACAGAAAGCUGUGAAUUUACACACUAGCAAAAUGGGAGCAUUAACAUAGUCUCAGUGCAACACUGAGGGGGUGCCACACAAUCAGAGAACCAGUACUCAGAGAAUGACGCACUAUUGGAGGGUCAGUGCUGAGGGAGUGCCACGCUGUCGGAGGGUCAGUGCUGAGAGAGUGCCGCACUGUUGGAGGGUCAGU